rnacentral:rRNA from 1 species
AGCGAACGCUGGCGGCAGGCCUAACACAUGCAAGUCGAACGAACUCUUCGGAGUUAGUGGCGGACGGGUGAGUAACACGUGGGAACGUGCCCUUAGGUUCGGAAUAACUCAGGGAAACUUGUGCUAAUACCGAAUGUGCCCUUCGGGGGAAAGAUUUAUCGCCUUUAGAGCGGCCCGCGUCUGAUUAGCUAGUUGGUGAGGUAAAGGCUCACCAAGGCGACGAUCAGUAGCUGGUCUGUGAGGAUGAUCAGCCACAUUGGGACUGAGACACGGCCCAAACUCCUACGGGAGGCAGCAGUGGGGAAUCUUGCGCAAUGGGCGAAAGCCUGACGCAGCCAUGCCGCGUGAAUGAUGAAGGUCUUAGGAUUGUAAAAUUCUUUCACCGGGGACGAUAAUGACGGUACCCGGAGAAGAAGCCCCGGCUAACUUCGUGCCAGCAGCCGCCGUAA